GACGAACGCUGGCGGCGUGCUUAACACAUGCAAGUCGAACGAUGAAGCCGGAGCUUGCUCCGGUGGAUUAGUGGCGAACGGGUGAGUAACACGUGAGCAAUCUGCCCUUGACUCUGGGAUAACUGCGGGAAACUGUAGCUAAUACCGGAUACGACACCUUGGGGCAUCCCAGGGUGUGGAAAGAAUUUCGGUCAAGGAUGAGCUCGCGGCCUAUCAGCUAGUUGGUGAGGUAAUGGCUCACCAAGGCGACGACGGGUAGCCGGCCUGAGAGGGUGAUCGGCCACACUGGGACUGAGACACGGCCCAGACUCCUACGGGAGGCAGCAGUGGGGAAUAUUGCACAAUGGGCGCAAGCCUGAUGCAGCAACGCCGCGUGAGGGACGACGGCCUUCGGGUUGUAAACCUCUUUUAGUAGGGAAGAAGCGAAAGUGACGGUACCUGCAGAAAAAGCACCGGCUAACUACGUGCCAGCAGCCGCCGUAA
rnacentral:rRNA from 1 species